rnacentral:rRNA from 1 species
GUCUAUGGCCAUGCUACCCUGAACAAGCCCUAUCCCAUCUGAUCUCAAAAGCUAAGCAGGGGUGGGCCUGGUUAGUACUUGUAUGGGAGACUACCUAGGAAGACCACAUGCUAUAGACC